CUGAAGUGAACCAGGUCUGUGUACAUAUCGCUGUCGUCACUGCCACAAGGAGCGAACACGAUAUCUGGUGCCGAAACCCGGGAAUUUUUCUCCAACCACCCAGAGGAGAAACUGGCGGACACGGACGCCAUAGAGCUUCUUACCCUGAAGCAGUACCAGUGGACUCCAUUCGGAAGGAUCGUUCGGGAGGGCACCUCGAAAGAGGAGGGUGAGUGGAUCAACAAGCAAAACGAAAGACCGAAACAAUCCCAUCUGGGUGCCUGAACGCCUGACACGGAGAGUGGCAAGACCAGAACCGGAAGUGCAAGAUGCCGACCCCACUGAUGCUGAUCCUGCUACUGAUCCUUCAGCAGGCGAUAGCGGAACCCAGAGAACUUUGGGGUCUGGUGAAGGCUUGGCCUCUACCACUCCCGGUGACUGAAACUGCACAUACCUUUCCCGCCUUUUUCUCUACCAAUAGUACACUUAAUCUCCCAUAUCUGCCCUUUGACAGCUCUAUGUGUUACUGGCAUUCCUUUUCAUAACCUCUCUAAAGCUGCCAAUCUGUCCAGGGAAUUAGGCAAGAUGUUAUCCACCAAUUGGUCCAGUGAGUUUGACGUGCUCACCACUCAGCUAUGGCUAGAAAUAUUGAAUGUUAGUUCCCAAAAGGUAGAGGCGCUGUCUGUAGCUCAGUUUGCUGAAGCCGUGCUAAAUGCCACCAAAGCCUGGUCAGGCAUGGGUGUUAUGGGUAUAUUACUCCUUGUAGGUCUUCUCCUACUUGGGAGAAAAGUCUGUUAUGGCUCUGGUGCAGGCCAUGGCAGCUAUAGAGGAAGGCAUCUCCCCUAGGGUGUAGCUCAAUAUGUUGGACCAGUAGUCAAAGACGGGUAAGAUCAGGAGGUACGCAUACCAACCUAAGACAGGGUGCAGACCUUAGCUGUCUGUUGCCCUAUGACGGGUAAGGAUGCUGCGCCUCCCUGACAACCUAAGACAGGCACGGUCCCCGAGCCUCAUUGUGUUAAAAAACAAAAAGGGGGGAGAUGUAGGGGCCGGCCUACGGCUGAGGCUGAGUCCCACUAUGGCUGAACACCGCCGUUCCACUGUAGCUGACCAACGCCCUAAGAUGGCGCCCGCUUCCUGGGCACCACCCUUCCUGGUUUGGUGGCAUUAGCAUAAGGAAGUUGCUCCUAUAGGCUUGCCCCAUGCUUCCGCGCUCGUGCUCAACUCAUGCAGAAGGCAUGCUACCAAUCAGCUUAAAGGUCACGCAUGAUCUUGAUCACCAUAGGCCAGCUUCCUUUAUAUAAGGCGUAAGCAGGAAAGAGAAGGAGAGUCUCUCUCCUCUCAUUCUUCCUCUCACUCGCUCUCUCCGGCUGUUGCUUCUUCUCACUCACAUUCUCCCGACCUUCCGAGCAAGAAUAAAGAACUGAAGUGAA